CUAAAAGGACCUAGGAUGGAAGCCCCCCCCCCCCCCCAAUCAAGAAUUGCUUCCGCCGGCCCUGCUACACAUCCGGGUAUGAUCCUGUAAUCUAAAUUUUCUGCAGUUAUUCCUGAAGACAGGGGUGGCACAAAUCAGUACCAGGUCAUCAAGCCAACCUCAAAAACCUGUCAGUAAGUCAUCCUUAACAACCAAUUUAGUGAAGUUUGUUUGGUCAUUGGCUGAAUUUUAGAUUCUAAAAUGCAGAAGUAUGUGUAUAGCAUCUAGAAGUUAGUACACUAACAAGAAACUAGUGAAAGUGGUACACAUCUCUGCAGUCAAUUUAAUCAAAGAUAAACCAACUUGGACGAUUAGGUGGCAAAGAUGCAGUCCUGUACACCGUUAAGAACAUUAUGAAAAAUCUCCUUGCUACUGAUGUACAACAGCUCUACAUCUGGAUAGGACAAAAGGGCAAGCGUGAAUUUGGGGCACUAGCUACAGCUAAAAUUGUUUUUAAGUGGAAGAUCCCAAAGAAUUUCAACCGUCUUAACUGAGAAAGCAUAAUAAUAAAACAUGAAACCAAAUAAAUAGUUUUGUGAUUUUAUUAGACUUAUUUGGUACUUAUUUGGUACUUAUUGUUUACCUGAGCAAUAAUGCUCCUUCCCAAACACAGAAUUGAACCCAGGAAAUGUUCUCAAAAAUGCAACCGGACUUCUGAGAUGGUAAUGUGUUCUUUAUGAUUUUCAUGUAACCCAUGGUACACAUGCUGUUCACCGGGACCAGCCCUAUAAAAUUCACCCCCAUACUGGUUGAAUCAUUCACACUACAACGUCCGCAGCAUGCUAUGACUCGUGACAGCUCACAGGAACCAGGCGCUUGGAAGACUCGACGCUGGCCACACUGCCCAAGCCGUUGCCAAUUACUUCCAGAUCAAUGUUCGGACCAUCUACAGGCUUCAGCAACGCUUUCCGGCAACCAGCACCACGGAUGAUUGCCAACGAACUGGUAGACCAAGGGUUACCACAAGGCGACAAGACCGCCAUAUUGUGUGACAGCACGUGCAGAAUCCGUUCACACAGGCAUCUGAGACAGCACGUCAGACAGUGGGAACACACUGAAGACCCAUCAGUACCGAUACAGUGCGCCAACAUCUCAACAGAGAGAACAUCCAUUGCCGUAGACCGAUCCUCAACCCUCGCCAUCGAAGUGAACGUCAACAGUUUGCCCAACAACACGAGAACUAGCGACACAGGCAAUGGAGAACUGUUCUGUUCACAGAUGAGAGUCGGUAUUGCGUAUAAACUGCAGAUGGCAGGACCAGAAUAUGGCGUCGACGUGGCCAGCGUUAUUCUGACCAAUGUGUCAUGGAACGAGACUCAUGGGGAGGUCCAAGAAUAAUGGUUUGGGGCGGAAUCGGCCUGAAGCAGAGAGUGGGUCCUGUUGUGUUCCAAAAUCUUGGUCCAGGGAGAGGAGGCGGCAUCAUAGCAGUGCGCUACAUCGAUCAAGCUCUGACCCCACGUCAUACCACAUUUCGCACGUCAUCGAAAUGUUUUCCAGCAUGACAACGCCUGUGCCCACACCGCCAGAGUUUUUCAGGACUUUCUACAGCAGAACGGUGUCAACGUUAUGCACUGGCCAGCCCUUAGUCCAGAUUGAACAGCUGAUGGAUUGCGCCAGGCUUUUCUGAUGGUGUGGUUCCAGGUGCCAAUGGCGUUCAUCAAUCUUCAGGUCUACUCCAUGUACAGACACUGCGCUGCUGUUAUUGACACUCACAGUGGACACACCAGAUACUGAUGUAUAGACUGUGUACAGACUCUAUACCUUCUCGUAAUGUCUUGGAAUUGUGAUAAAUUAGUCACUAAUGUGUCAACAUACUGUUGACAAAAAAUU